rfam:Cavia porcellus supercont2_25 genomic scaffold, whole genome shotgun sequence.
GGGGAUUUAGCUCAGUGACAUAAGCACCUGCCUUGCAAGCAGGCGGUCGUGAGUUAAAUCCCACAGUACUGA